rnacentral:rRNA from 1 species
ACGCUCGACACCUACGGGGGGCAGCAGUGGGGAAUAUUGCACAAUGGGGGAAACCCUGAUGCAGCGACGCCGCGUGAAGGAAGAAGUAUUUCGGUAUGUAAACUUCUAUCAGCAGGGAAGAAAAUGACGGUACCUGAGUAAGAAGCACCGGCUAAAUACGCGCCAGCAGCCGCGGUAAUCGUGAGGCGGGCUGGCAAGGC